GACGAACGCUGGCGGCGUGCUUAACACAUGCAAGUCGAACGGAAAGGCCCUGCUUUUGUGGGGUGCUCGAUUGGCGAACGGGUGAGUAACACGUGUGUAACCUGCCCUUGACUUUGGGAUAACUUCAGGAAACUGGGGCUAAUACCGGAUAGGAGCUCCUGCUGCAUGGUGGGGGUUGGAAAGUUUCGGCGGUUGGGGAUGGUCUCGCGGCUUAUCCGCUUGUUGGUGGGGUAGUGGCUUACCAAGGGUUUGACGGGUAGCCGGCCUGAGAGGGUGAACGGGCACAAGGGGACUGAGAGAGGGCGCAGACGGCAACGGGAGGCAGCAGGGGGAAAUAUGGCAGAAUAGGGGGAAGCCUGAGGAAGAAACGCCGCGAGCGGGAAGACGGGCUUCGGGUGAAAAACAGCUGUCGCCUGAGACGAAGAGUGAGUGACGGUAAUGGGUAAAGAAGCACCGGCUAACUACGUG
rnacentral:rRNA from 1 species